ensembl:lncRNA
CCCCCCCCCCCAGGUCCCAAUGUAAUCGUACUCAUUAUGCUCUAAAAUACUCAAACUGAUCCUAGAUCAGCACUCUACUGUCAGAGUAGAGAUGCUUGGUACAUAUGGCACCAGGAUUUUAAUGCAAAGCUGCUUUGGCAUGGAAGGACGGACGUUUGUGAUUGUUGUGUUUGACCUCCUGGGUCAGAGAAUUGUCGCUCCACCAGCUCCAUAUAAACCAUUGCCUUCCGCUGUUUUGGAGAUGCUGUACUUUUACUGUAAUGUUUUGUUUUGUGAAAUCAUCGUCAUGACCUUUGUGUGAUUUAUUAUGUGACGUCCCAGAUGGCACCCUAUUCCCUCUAUAGUGCACUACCUUUGACCAGAGUCCUCUGGGCCCUGGUUCAAAAGUAGUGCACUAUAAAGGGAUUUUUGAUGCCAUUUAGGAUGCAGCCUUCCUCUCCCUUCACAUCUGGGCUGCUGUGUUUUUCCAGUAAACGACGAGGCCAGUCGUUCAUAGUUGGAGCUUGGUCUGUCUGUGCAGGCAGGUAGCUUUGUUUCCCUACGAUGUGGAUGUUCUCUCCUUCAUGGCAUUUUGCAUGGCUAAGUGUGGAAAUGGAGUGUCUCGGGAGGACCUGGGGGAGGCUACAGAUUUACUACAGUAGUAGUGACAAUAUGGUCUUUGCGUCAGUGUCGCACCACAUCAGUAAGCCAGUAUUCACACCAUGUCUUUUUUCAGUGUUGCUGUGAACAUUUUUAAUUCAAUGCCCUUGUGCCUGUAUGUAUGUGUGUGUGUGUGUGUGUGUGUGUGUAGUUUUGUUCUUUUUAACACUGUUUUGCAGUUUGUAUUCAGCCUUCUACAUUUCUCCUUGAGUCUUUAUUCCAGUGUUCUAUUGAUGGUUAUAAACUGGGUGGUUCGAGCCCUGAAUGCUGAUUGGCUGACAGCCGUGGUAUAUCAGACCAUAUACCACAGGUAUGACAAGACAUUUAUUUUUACUGCUCUAAUUAUGUUGGUAACCAGUUCAUAAUAGCAAUAAGGCACCUCGGGGGUUUGUGGUAUAUGGCCAAUAUACCAUGGCUAAGGGCCGUGUUGCGUCAUGCCUAAACAGCCCUUAGCCGUGGUAUAUUAGCCUUAUACCACACCCCCUCGUGCUGUAUUGCUCAAGUAAAGGUUUGUCAGUCACUGGGCCUGGGUGAUACUCUGAGAAUGCAUCCAUCCUCCCCCUCGGAGUAAAACGCUGUUCUGACAUAACUGUCUUUCUAGGCUACUUUUUUAUACAAAAUUGCGUAUAAUUCCUGAGAAAUGUGGUUUGACGAAUGGAGUUUAGCAAUUUCACUCGAGCUAUUAUCACCCAUCCAGUUGUCAGAUAAGUGAAUAUUUUGAGGGUGGGUAGAAGGGAGAGUAGGAGGGUGGGUAGGAGGGUGCAUUUUAUUAGUAUUCAACCAUAGCCAUCAUCUCAAAUAUUUUUCUCAUGUGAAAAUCAGACACUGACACUCAUCCCCAGGUAGCAUGGACCAGACUCCCUGGCUGUAUAGAAUAUGGCGUAUUGUUUCUGGAAUGAAGAUGCCAUUUUGCCAAAACAAUCCCUCUCGAAAAGGAGACUUGUGUGUUUUAUUUGUUUUUUCACUCUGAAUUGAAUAAAACUUUAUUAAAAAUGUUUUGUAUUUCCU